AAAGGUUUAGUAUAAUAAGUAUAAUCUAUUGUCAAUAGUUGGGUUUAAUCUUUG
rnacentral:tRNA from 1 species